UACGAAGGGGGCUAGCGUUGCUCGGAAUUACUGGGCGUAAAGGGCGCGUAGGCGGACAUUUAAGUCAGAGGUGAAAGCCCAGGGCUCAACCUUGGAACUGCCUUUGAUACUGGAUGUCUUGAGUUCGGGAGAGGUGAGUGGAAUGCCGAGUGUAGAGGUGAAAUUCGUAGAUAUUCGGCGGAACACCAGUGGCGAAGGCGACUCACUGGCCCGAUACUGACGCUGAGGCGCGAAGGCCAGGGGAGCAAACGGG
rnacentral:rRNA from 1 species